AUUGAACGCUGGCGGCAGGCCUAACACAUGCAAGUCGAGCGGAUGAAGGGAGCUUGCUCCUGGAUUCAGCGGCGGACGGGUGUGUAAUGCCUAGGAAUCUGCCUGGCAGUGGUGUAUAACGUCUGGAAACGGCCGCUAAUACCGCAUACGUCCUGAGGGAGAAAGUGGGGGAUCUUCGGACCUCACGCUAUCAGAUGAGCCUAGGUCGGAUUAGCUAGUUGGUGGGGUAAAGGCCUACCAAGGCGACGAUCCGUAACUGGUCUGCGUGGAUGAUCAGUCACACUGGAGGUGGGACACGGACAAGAGUCCUAAGGGAGGGAGCAGUGGGGAAUAUGGGACAGUGGGCGGAAGCCUGAUACAGCCAUGGCGCGUGUGUGGAGGAGGUCUUCGGAGUGUGAAGAACUUUAUCUUGGGGGGAAGGGCAGUAAGCUGAGACCUUGCUGGAGUGACGGUACCAACUGAAGAAGCACCGGCUAACUUCGUG
rnacentral:rRNA from 1 species